rnacentral:tRNA from 1 species
GCCCCGGUAGCCUAGCCUGGUGGGGCAUCUGCUUGGUAAGUAGAAGGUCGCGGGUUCGAAUCCCGCCCGGGGCUCCA